rnacentral:rRNA from 1 species
CCUACGGGGUGCAGCAGUGAGGAAUAUUGGUCAAUGGGCGCGAGCCUGAACCAGCCAAGUAGCGUGAAGGAUGACUGCCCUACGGGUUGUAAACUUCUUUUAUAAAGGAAUAAAGUGAGGCACGUGUGCAAUUUUGUAUGUACCAUAUGAAUAAGGAUCGGCUAACUCCGUGCCAGCAGCCGCGGUAAUACGGAGGCUCCGAGCGUUAUCCGGAUUUAUUGGGGUUAAAGGGAGCGUAGGUGGGUUGUUAAGUCAGUUGUGAAAGUUUGCGGCUAAACCGUAAAAUUGCAUUUGAAACUGGCAGUCUUGAGUACAGUAGAGGUAGGCGGAAUUCGUGGUGUAGCGGUGAAAUGCUUAGAUAUCACGAAGAACUCCGAUUGCGAAGGCAGCUUACUAGACUGCAACUGACAUUGAUGCUCGAAAGUGUGGGUAUCAAACAGGAUUAGAUACCCUGGUAGUC